ensembl:snRNA U6 U6 spliceosomal RNA
AUGCUCACUUCAGAACAUACAGUGAAAAUAGAAUGAUACAGAAAAGAUUAGCAUGGUCCCUGUGCAAGGAUAACACGCACAUUCACGAAGCAUUCCAUAUUUUA